GUUGAGAAGCGUGAUGCUCUGACCUAUAAUCUAGAGAAAGCCGUUGCUAGCUGGAGCAUGGCAAUAUUGAGCCAGACGGAAAAUUCUACCACCACCACCAACGAAGUUUUACACAGAAUAAGAAUGAUUACCUGGCAAUCCCAAUACAUUAUGGCAGUGUUCGACUACGACAAUUUAUACCCUUCAUUGAAGUUGGAGCCAGUGUGCUUAGCGCUGUAUCAUUUUAUGAUGGAGAACCUCCCGCACAUACCUGGAAGAGAAAAGUUAUUAAGGGACGUUGCUCAUUUGCUGUGCCACAGGUCCUAUUUUGCUUUCCGUG
rnacentral:lncRNA from 1 species